UACGAAGGGGGCUAGCGUUGUUCGGAAUUACUGGGCGUAAAGCGCGCGCAGGCGGUUUCUCAAGUCAGUGGUGAAAUCCUGGAGCUCAACUCCAGAACUGCCUUUGAUACUGAGGAUCUUGAGUACGGGAGAGGUGAGUGGAACUGCGAGUGUAGAGGUGAAAUUCGUAGAUAUUCGCAAGAACACCAGGGGCGAAGGCGGCUCACUGGCCCGUAACUGACGCUGAGGCACGAAAGCGUGGGGAGCAAACAGG
rnacentral:rRNA from 1 species